rnacentral:rRNA from 1 species
GAUGAACGCUAGCGGCAGGCUUAAUACAUGCAAGUCGUGGGGCAGCGCAGGUAGCAAUACUGGGCGGCGACCGGCAAACGGGUGCGGAACACGUACACAACCUUCCGAGAAGUGGGGAAUAGCCCAGAGAAAUUUGGAUUAAUACCCCGUAACAUAACGAUGUGGCAUCACAUUGUUAUUAUAGCUUCGGCGCUUCUUGAUGGGUGUGCGGCUGAUUAGAUAGUUGGCGGGGUAACGGCCCACCAAGUCUACGAUCAGUAGCUGAUGUGAGAGCAUGAUCAGCCACACGGGCACUGAGACACGGGCCCGACUCCUACGGGAGGCAGCAGUAAGGAAUAUUGGUCAAUGGACGCAAGUCUGAACCAGCCAUGCCGCGUGAAGGAUUAAGGUCCUCUGGAUUGUAAACUUCUUUUAUCUGGGACGAAAAAAGGCGAUUCUUCGUCACUUGACGGUACCAGAUGAAUAAGCACCGGCUAAACUCCGUGCCAGCAGCCG